UGCUCAGGGUAAAUGAUUUGUGUCUAUAAGAUGCCACGUACAGUCACAAUCUCAGUGAGAAAUGGGCUGUCGCCUCUUCUUCUGCAACUCAGUGCUCGAUAAGACAUCGGGGGAAAGCCAGUCCCUAAUUUGUAUGUGAUGCAAUGAGGAACAAAUUUAAUGUUUUGCCUUUCCCUAGCAGUAUUCUUACUUCUUUGCUUCAUUUACCUCUUUCCUCCUUUACUCUCCCCUUUCACCUCCUCCACCAAAAGAGACUGAGUCUGUCUCAGAUCACUACAUUCAAAUUACUUUAAAUGUUGGCUCAUCCCCAUGAAAUUACAGUGAAAUUAAAUAUAAUCUGUACACGUCCCAGACAUGAUUAUAUUUGAUUUACACACACACACACAAUCAGGCUACCUCCCAUUUGCUGAGGGAGAAGGACCACUUUUUCUGAGUUUUCAUUCACUGAGAGUGAGAGCAAAGUCUCUUAAGCAGAAAUUCGCCUGGCUUCUUGCAUGGAUUUUUAAAUUGGAUUUCUGCUUUGUGUCCACAGAAAUAGACUCCUAUUAGAAGAGGGGAAUUGGAGACAUAGAUAUUCUGCUGAGAUAUUGGUGUCAUCAUAUUUGAGUUGGAAAGGACUUACGACAGCAUAGAGUCGUACCUUUUUAUGGUGUAAGAAUGCCGGUGACUGAGUUAGAAGCAUGCUCCCAAGCUGUCCAUGUACUUGCCAUUCAGAAGCGGACCCUGGAAGCUUCCAAAUUUCUCCAGAAUGCGUUCUACAUUCACCUUCGGCAGAUACCCAGCUUUCCCUGCACCAUUUGUUGAAAAGACUAUUCUUUCCAUGGAGUGUUGUUGGCACCCUUGUGGAAAACUGACUGUAAAUAUAAGGAGACUGAGAAUUAAGUCUUCUCUCUUUUGGGUGGAGCUCAUUAUCAAUGACGGGAAGUUGUAAGGAAAAAGAUAUUGAUUCAUCCUGAGAAAACAUUUUUCUGAGAGUCAGCAGUGAAGAAGGUGGACACUGAAGAAGAUCCAUCCCUUUUCUCUGCUCUUCCGGUCCAUCUGUCUCCCUCCACUUUUCCCCUCCUCUCCUCCCCCUCCCAUCUUCUUCCUCCCUCACUGCCCCACCUUCUCUCGCAGAACCCAGAGUGGAUCGCUGGCCCUCCUGCGCAUGGGCAGUCGGUGCCAGCUGGACCGCGGGUUGGAAGCUCCAGCACCGAGCCGGGGAUCGGCCCCAAAGUCUUCUUAGCU